UACGGGGGGGGCAAGCGUUGUUCGGAUUUACUGGGCGUAAAGGGCGCGUAGGCGGCCAGCACAAGUCAGUUGUGAAAUCUCCGAGCUUAACUCGGAAAGGUCAACUGAUACUGUGCGGCUAGAGUGCAGAAGGGGCAACUGGAAUUCUCGGUGUAGCGGUGAAAUGCGUAGAUAUCGAGAGGAACACCUGCGGCGAAGGCGGGUUGCUGGGCUGACACUGACGCUGAGGCGCGAAAGCUAGGGGAGCGAACGGG
rnacentral:rRNA from 1 species